GGUCCUGUGGCAGCAGUGGUAGCUCAUUGUGCUUAUAGAUAGGUAUGUGUGCUUUUCGCACAAGCCUCUGUUCACGCGACGGUCGCCGGUUCGACCCCGGCCAGGACCA
rnacentral:tRNA from 1 species